CUCCAAGACAUGCUAACCUCUCACCAUUACAAUAGCAAGGUAGGUUAGCAUUUUCUAUCAUACCUCCAAGACAUGCUAACCUCUCACCAUUACAAUAGCAAGGUAGGUUAGCAUUUUUGGGGGGGUAUGAUAUUUGUGCGUCUGUAACUUUCUCACUCAUCAUUACUCACAAUUAAUUCAGGACUAUCUGUAAUCAUGGUAGCAUCCACAUUAAUGUAGAAGUGUUUAGAAACAUAUUCUGUAAUUAUUUACAAUAAAAGUGACUCCAAAUGACACAACACAUUAUUUACCAUUAAUUUCUGUUGGGUGCAAAGUAAUCUGAAACACAACCAAAUCAAACAGAAAAUGCUUGAUGUAAUCACUGUGUGCUAGGAAAAUGGGACCAAAUACUAAACUUUUGACUACUUUAAUACACAUAUAAAUCAAUUUGUCCCAAUACUUUUGGUCCCCUAAAAUGGGGGUACUAUGUAAAAAAAAAAAGUGCUGUAAUUUCUAAACGGUUCACCCAGUAUGGAUAAAAAUGCUCAAAUUAAAGCUGACAGUCUGCACCUUAACCUCAUAGUCAAUGUAUCAUUUCCAAUCCAAAGUGCUGGACUACAGAGCCAAAACAACAUCAAAAAAUGUCACUGUCCCAAUACUUUUGGAGCUCACUGUAUUUACACAUUUGAGAUAAAGCACACAUUUCAUUGGGCGAUGAACCUCUAGAAGGUACUACUUGUCUUACAAUAAUCUCUCAGUGGAUUCUGCAGAGGCUUGAGACGGUGUCAGUUGUGAGGCUUGGAGGGUGUCAGUUGUGAGGCUUGGAGGGUGUCAGUUGUGAGGCUUAGAGGGUGUCAGUUGUGAGGCUUGGAGGGUGUCAGUUGUGAGGCUUGGAGGUUGUCAGUUGUGAGGCUUGGAGGGUGUCAGCUGAGAGGCUUGGAGGGUGUCAGUUGUGAGGCUUGGAGGGUGUCAGUUGAGAGUCUUGGAUACGUUGGAAGUACAGUAUAUUAAGGCAUUUUUUAAGUUUAACGAUUCAUUCUGUUAAAUAGUUAUGUUUGUAUGCCUGUGGGUUGUUUUUUAAACUGCUGUGAUUGAUUCAGCUGUGCUUGAGCUUGUAAAAGUCCUUUUAAUAAAAAGAGAAUGGUUUAUGAAAUGUUUCUUUAGAAAUGUUUUUUUAACAAUGUCUGUAAUUAAGUAAUGUACUAUGAUAAACAUUUUAUUUAAAUCUGCUUUUGUUUUUACAGCCACCUGAAUCUUCAAAAUAAUUCCUCCAACUAGCACAGAAUUCCUAUGAAAUAAGAUUGUAUUUGUCACAUGCGCCGAAUACAACAGGUGUAGACUAUACCAUGAAAUGCUUAUUUACGAUCCCUUUCCCAACAAUGCAGAGUUAAAAAGUACCAAAAAAUGUGC